AUUGAACGCUGGCGGCAUGCCUUACACAUGCAAGUCGAACGGCAGCACGGGAGCAAUCCUGGUGGCGAGUGGCGAACGGGUGAGUAAUGCAUCGGAACGUGCCAUUGAGUGGGGGAUAACGUAGCGAAAGUUACGCUAAUACCGCAUAUUCUGUGCGCAGGAAAGCAGGGGAUCGCAAGACCUUGCGCUCUUUGAGCGGCCGAUGUCAGAUUAGCUAGUUGGUGGGGUAAAGGCUCACCAAGGCGACGAUCUGUAGCGGGUCUGAGAGGAUGAUCCGCCACACUGGGACUGAGACACGGCCCAGACUCCUACGGGAGGCAGCAGUGGGGAAUUUUGCGCAAUGGACGAAAGUCUGACGCAGCAACGCCGCGUGGGUGAUGAAGGUCUUCGGAUUGUAAAACCCUGUCGCCAGGGACGAAGGGUGAGGUGUGAAUAGCGCCUUAC
rnacentral:rRNA from 1 species